rnacentral:rRNA from 1 species
CUGUGAUUAUAAAUUUAACGGCCGCGGUAUUUUGACCGUGCAAAGGUAGCGCAAUCACUUGUCUUUUAAAUAAAGACCCGUAUGAAUGGCAUAACGAGGGCUUAACUGUCUCCCUUUUUUAAUCAAUGAAAUUGAUCCCCCCGUGCAGAAGCGGGGAUAAGAACAUAAGACGAGAAGACCCUGUGGAGCUUUAAACGCCAAAACAGACCAUGUUAAGUAACCCCUCCCAUAAAGACUAAAACCAGACGGAAGCUGUUUUGCUGUUUUUGGUUGGGGCGACCGCGGGGUAAUGAUUAACCCCCAUGUAGAAUAGGAGUACCCCUCUUUAAGUGAAGACCCACAACUCUAAAUUACAGAACUUCUGACUAAAUAUGAUCCGGUAGAACCGAUCAACGAACCGAGUUACCCCAGGGAUAACAGCGCAAUCCUCUUUAAGAGCCCAUAUCGACAAGAGGGUUUACGACCUCGAUGUUGGAUCAGGACUUCCUAAUAGUGCAGCCGCUAUAAAGGGUUCGUUUGUUCAACGAUUAAAGU